CUCCUCCAGGAAGAGCAGACACUCCUUCUCUUCAGCAGACAGGAAGUCGUAGCUGUCACUCUGUGGGAGAAGGAGUUGUGAGAGGGAGCUCUUGCAGAAACUGGCGGGGCCUGAGAACCACCCUGCUAUGGGGAAAGAAUGCUGAAGGUGAGGAAGACUGAUAGAAAAGUUGCUCUUCAAAGAAGAUUGAAGGAAAAACCAAAAGGGCAAAAGGAAAUAUAAGAAAUUUGGCUUGAAUGUUUUUCUUGAGAACUUCAAGACGCCAUGUGCUGCCUGGAGUCAGUGGC